GGUGAAGGGUACUGCGGAGGAUCAUUAUCGAGUUUUGAAUGGGUUGUCUGCUGGCUCGCAAGGGCAUGUGCACGCCUGUCUCAUCCACUCUCAACUUCUGUGCACUUUUCAUAGGCCGGCUUGUGGGUGCGUUCGCGCACUUGUAGGUGUCGGGCUUAUGCUUUACUACAAACGAUUCAGUUUUAGAAUGUCAUACUUUGCUAUAACGCAAUUAUAUACAACUUUCAGCAACGGAUCUCUUGGCUCUCGCAUCGAUGAAGAACGCAGCGAAAUGCGAUAAGUAAUGUGAAUUGCAGAAUUCAGUGAAUCAUCGAAUCUUUGAACGCACCUUGCGCUCCUUGGUAUUCCGAGGAGCAUGCCUGUUUGAGUCUCAUGGAAUUCUCAACCUUCAGCUUUAUUGAUGAAGGCUUGGACUUGGAGGUCGUGCCGGCUCUCGUAGUCGGCUCCUCUGAAAUGCAUUAGUGCGAACGUUACCAGCCGCUUCAGCGUGAUAAUUAUCUGCGUUGCUGUGGAGGGUAUUCUAGUGUUCACGCUUCUAACCGUCUUCGGACAAAUUUCUGAACUCUGAGCUCAAAUCAGGUAGGACUACCCGCUGAACUUAAGCAUAUCAAAAACCGGAAGGAAA
rnacentral:rRNA from 1 species